rnacentral:rRNA from 1 species
GACGAACGCUGGCGGCGUGCUUAACACAUGCAAGUCGAACGGAAAGGCCCUGCUUUCGUGGGCUGCCCGAGUGGCGAACGGGUGAGUAACACGUGAGUAACCUGCUCUUGACUUUGGGAUAACUUAAGGAAACUGGGGCUAAUACCGGAUAGGAGCCCCUGCUGCAUGGUGGGGGGUGGAACGUCUCGGCGGUCGGGGAUGGACUAGCGGCUUAUCGGCUUGUUGGUGGGGUAGUGGCUUACCAAGGCAUUGACGGGUCGCCGGCCUGAGAGGGUGACCGGCCACAUGAGGACUGAGAGACGGCCCAGACUGCUACGGGAGGCAGCGGUGGGGAAUAUUGCACAAUGGGCGGGAGCCUGAUACAGCGACGCCGCGUGCGGAAUGACGGCCUUCGGGUUGUAAACCGCUUUCGCCUGUUACGAAGCGUGAGUGACGGUAAUGAGUAAAGAAGCACCGGCUAACUACGUG